CACGUCAUUCGUUCUUUCUAAAACAUCAACACAGACCGUCCAAAAAUAUUUUAGCAGACAAAAAACCCCCCCGCAAAAUAAAAAGUAAACGGUCGUAAUACAGUUUGAUGCAUUUUUCACAGGAUAUAAGUACAACAAGUGCUACAGUGUAAGAGACAUUCGGUUGCAGUGGAAACAGAGUCCGCUAACUAGCUGUAGCUAGAAGGCUAACCACUGGAAAACAGCGCAGAGCUGCUGGGGCACAUGAGCCCCACAUGAGGGGGGCAGGGUGGGAGAGAGUGUAGCAGGCCCUGUUCAUCUUGACCAGGCUAAAAGAUGGAUGCGUAGUGAGAAGAGGAGUGGCAGAAAGAACAUUUUCACAGCCCCCAAGAAUAGUAGUUGAGGAUUUUGCUUCCAGCUAUGGAAAAAAAAG